ACCCGUGUUCGUGGGCUGACGCACGGGCUGUUCUCCCCCCUGCGCAGCGCCCCCCGAGCUCCAGAUCGGAAGGGGAGCUCCCGAUCCAGAGCCCCUCGCCGCCCCGCUGCCUUCGCGCUCGGCCUCGCCACCGGCCGCCGCGCCGCCGUCGACCAUAGCCGGACCUCCACGCUUCGCGCCCCCUCUUAUGGUUGUCCCUCUUCUCCGUUUCCUUCCCCUCUGUUUCUCUCCCCCACACAAGGAUUGCCUCUCCCCUUCUUCUACAGGAGCAGCCAUGGCCACCAAUGACCGCCGCUUCGCCCGGAUCCAGUCGGAAUCAACCUCCUGCAGCUGUAUCCGCCCCAUCCCGACCUCGCCGACCUUCCUCCCGGUCUUCAUAGCGAUCCAUCGCAGGUCUCGAAGACCAGCGCCUCCCUCCGAAUUUUAGUAAGUUUUGUUUGUCCGUCCCACAAUCCCAUUAUCUAGCAGCAACCGCCGCCGCCGCCAGCAGCAGCAGGCGCGGCUGGAGAUCCCCUCGUGGGCCGGCGCCGGCCAAUGAAGGCCCCGGCGCUGGCGGUGCCGCCAGCCGAGAAGCCCGUGCGCGAUGACGAUAAGCGCGAGGGCCUCGCCAACUCAGACACCCUGCUCGCCUUCCCCGAGGACGACGAGCACGACAAGGCGGCGGCGGAGGACGAGGCCAAGGCCAGUGCGCAGGACAAGGUACGGGGAAGACCACCUUCAUGCACCAUCUGAUGUGUCAUAUGCAAGCAUCGGCGAAUAUGAGGGGUUAUGUGUUCAACCUUGACCCUGCGGUGAUGACACUGCCAUUUGGAGCCAACACUGAUAUCCGCGAUACUGUGCGUUACAAGGAGGUGAUGAAAGAGUACGGACUUAGGUCCCAAUGAUGGCAUUCUUACGUCACUCAACCUGUUCUCAACCAAGUUUGAUGAGUUCCAUCAUUCAAUGUAAGACUUCCCGGCGCACUCCGCCUGCUGUCGGGCCCAUCGGCCUGGCUCCCGCUGCGAACACCGCCGCUGAGUGCAUCGAAAUCCAUCGCAUGGGACCUCGCCGCCCGCUGCCCUACUCGAGGUUGGCCAGCUCUUACCCUACUACAAGAUGAACUCUGCUUGAGUACACACCCAUGGGGUGUUUGACAGGGAUUCCUUUGCCCGUUCUGCAAGCCAAUGUAGGCACGUAUAAGAACACCUCGACCCCUCAACGAAAACCCCUGCUCAAUUGCUUCCCAUGUUCGACAUUGCUUUUUUGAAAAGGAUGUUCGAUAUUGCUGCAUCGCCGUUUUGCUGACUUUGCCAGAAUCUUGCCGUUUUGUGACUUCACCGGAAUUCCGUCCGCCUGUUCUCCACCCAUGGUUCAUAAUCUCGGUUGCACCAACCGCUUUUGGUUGGCGAUGACUACCAUCCAGUUCUCUCCAUGUUUGAACCACUCUUCGCAUGGACAUCCCUAUGCUCCUUAUCUUACAGUAAAGAUUUUCGAGUGCGUGCCGCCGACCGCGACGGGCUGCUCGGCACACUCCGCGCCGCCACGGGCAACAGGUGGUAGGACGAGGAGAGGGUGGUGGAGACAGCGGAGGAGCUGGUAGGAGGAGGAGGAGAGGAAGGUGGAGGCGGCAGAGCAGCCAGUAGGAGUAGGAGAGGGAGGUGGAGGCGGCGGAGGAGGGGACGGGGAUGACGGGGACAGAUCGGACUACACGCCGGAGGACGAGGGCAUCACACCUCACACCGCCUACCGAUUCCUUCUUCCUCGUGUCCCCGUUACAUGGCCGUCGCUGCGGUCGCCCAGCAUCGACCGCCUUGCCCCGAUUAGCUCUUGGAUACGCGGACGACCAGAUGUGCUCCAGCGCGGCCGCCUAUGGGCUGCUCCCACGAUGAAUCGACAACUAAGCUCGGGGACGUGAUAUGGUGCUCGGUGUAGGUGGCCAUGGUGGACCUGAAGCUGGCUUAGAUAAGCGAUGGGAUCGAGCGGCGGCGCUCCCGAUCCGAUCGGGAGCAGGACGACGGCGGCGAGCACAUGGCGGACGAGAGGAGCAGGAGGGGAGGCGCGGAGGCAGGGCCAUAUGCGUCGGACGCGUGUGUUCGCCCGCAGUCAAUGCGGACACAGCGGCCGUCCAUGGCGGCUCGGGUCGAUGUAGGAGGACGAGGGAAGGAGCUCGCGAGGCCCGGCACCGGUAAUGGAGCGGAGGCGGCUGGAUCUGGCGAUUCUGGAGGGGCUGGCGACGAGCGUUUCCAUGGGCGGCGACCUGCGGGGUUCAAGCGGCGGCUGCCAUGAAGGUUAAUCAGAUAUACUUCCAUUUUAUGCAUGGGUUGAUCCCUCCCCUGGAUACUGUCAAGGUAUGAGCGAUCUGGUUUCCCCUUUUGUUGUUCUAUACGAGGAUGAUGCAGAUGCCUUUUGGUGUUUUGAGAUGCUACUGAGAAGGAUGGCAAUUUGUAUCUAUGUCAAACUAUACUGGCAUAUGUUAGGUUGGUAUUUUUGCAUGACUUCAUGCAUGAUAUAAAUUCUGUUGCAUCUCAGCGUGAAAAUUUCCACCUCGAGGGACCGACAGGAGUUAUGGAGCGGUUGGAAGCAUUGUGGAAGAUCAUGGAAUUGACAGAUACGGAACUAAUAAACUGGAGUCUGCAUACAUAUAUAUAUGCUGCGUGCGCGCACCCUCUGCCCAGACACCGUCAAGGCUCUCGACCUCAGUCAACAAUCUGCCGAAGAUAACGUGGCAGCCACCAACUUGUGGUUGCUCAGCGUGCGCUCCUUCCGGUUACACAGCGACCACGACAAGAUGACGGUUGUGGUCUUGGCAUUUAGGAUGGAGGCCUUCAACUGCAUUUUCUCAUGGACGAACUGACCAACGCAACAUUCCUUGCUUCAAUUUCUUUGUCGUAGAAGCUGAAAGUAUAUGGUCUGAUUUUAUAUUACAGUGUGUGUAUGAGAACUGAUUCAGAGUAUAUUGGUCAUUUGCGUUCUCAA